rnacentral:lncRNA from 1 species
CUGCAAUUGCUUGAAUCAUAUUCCAUGACAAUGCAACCCCAAAAGUCCUCCAUCUUCUCCGAAACUACUCCAUCAUUCUUCUUCACUCUGAAAACCACAUGCCAAUGAAGUUAUUCAAACUAUAUUCCAGCAUAAUUUUGAAACUUACUCUUAAACAACAAGCUUUGCUACUAUACUAUGAGCCUAAUAGAUUUUGAUGCUUAUUAAGAUUUUCACAAUCCUGCAGUUAUAAACUUAUUAAUAACGUUGUUGGGAUCAUUUGUACAUGCAACAACAAUGAAUCAUUUAGCUAUUCACCAUCAUCAUUUCAUGACUAGUUCCUUUGGAUCGGCACAACUUCAUUGUACUCUCAACUCAUCCUUAUUUUUUUUGUAAAAGUUGGAUGAUAAUGCAAAUCAAUAGAGCAUUGAAAUUGGCUACAUCAAAAGAGGAACGAAUGAAAGAUACAUGAAUCGGAAACUGAGAAAGUGAUGAGACAAACUAUGUACCUUUCAUGUUAUUCCCUUUAAGUAUCAUGUGCUUGAUACAACAAGGAAAAACAACUGGUGAUGUGUGCAUGUGCAAUGGAUUAUAUCUGCAAACAAAAGGACAUUGAUUCAAUUCAGAUUUAGCCUACAGUCCAUCCUAAAAUGGAUACAACACCAGAUAAAGAGAGACAAACACACACGCACUGCACCACUUGAUUAUACAUACAGAGAUAGCAAUCCCUAACUCGAAAGGACAUUAAAGACAGUGUAGAAGAUUGUCUUUUGAAAUCAGAUUGAUCUCAAAACCAUAGAAAUGAAUGCUGUUAUCUUAAUGAAAACUUUUGAGAUUACGAGUUGUCUAAUUUCUCCGAUCAAAACACAUAAAUUCUCAGCGAAUAGUCACUUUUCCCGCUUAUCAUCCCGUGGCCGCUUAUCCAUACUCUUGAUCAACACAGCUUAUCGCUAGCUGUUCGAUGACCUUAUUUAUUGAUAAUCAAAAU